UACAGAGGGGGCAAGCGUUAUCCGGAAUUAUUGGGCGUAAAGAGCUCGUAGGCGGUUUGUCGCGUCUGCUGUGAAAACCGGAGGCUCAACCUCCGGCCUGCAGUGGGUACGGGCAAACUAGAGUGCGGUAGGGGAGAUUGGAAUUCCUGGUGUAGCGGUGGAAUGCGCAGAUAUCAGGAGGAACACCGAUGGCGAAGGCAGAUCUCUGGGCCGUAACUGACGCUGAGGAGCGAAAGCGUGGGGAGCGAACAGG
rnacentral:rRNA from 1 species